GACGAACGCUGGCGGCGUGCUUAACACAUGCAAGUCGAACGGCAAGGCCCUGCUUUCGUGGGGUGAUCGAGUGGCGAUCGGGUGCGUAACACGUGUGUAACCUGCUCUUGACUUUGGGAUAGCUUAAGGAAACUGGGGCUACUCCAGUAUAGGAGCUCCUGCUGCAUGGAGGGGGUUGGAACGUUGUGGCGGUUGGGGUUGGACUAGCGGGUAAUCAGCUUGUUGGUGGGGUAGGGGCAGACCAAGGCAUUGGAGGGUCGGCGGACUGGGAGGGUGACCGGCCACAAGAGUACUGAGGUACGGCCCAGACGCCUACAGGAGGCAACAGUGGGGAGUAUGGCACAGUGGGCGGAAGCCGGAGGAGAAGACGCCGCGUGCGUGAUGACGUCCUGCUGGUUGUAAACCGCUGUCGCCUAUGACGAAGCCGUAGUGACGGUAAUGAGUGAAGAAGCACCGGCUAACUACGUG
rnacentral:rRNA from 1 species